GGAGGGAUGUCCGAAUUGGCAAGGGGCCGGACUUGAAAUCCGGUGAAGCCCGUAAGGGUGUGUGGGUUCGAGUCCCACUCCCUCCG
rnacentral:tRNA from 1 species